CCUCCGGGUGGCAGCAGUGAGGAAUAUUGGACAAUGGACGAGAGUCUGAACCAGCCAAGUAGCGUGUAUGAUGACGGCCCUAUGGGUUGUAAACAUCUUUUAUGAAGGGAUAAACCGAGGCAUGUGUGCCUUUUUGCAUGUACUUUAUGAGUAAGGAUCGGCUAACUCCGUGCCAGCAGCCGCGGUGAUACGGAGGAGCCGAGCGUUAUCCGGAUUUAUUGGGUUUAAAGGGAGCGCAGAUGGGUUGUUAAGUCAGUUGUGAAAGUUUGCGGCUCAACCGUAAAAUUGCAAUCGAUACUGGCAGGCUUGAGUACAGUUGAGGUAGGUGGAAUUCGAGGUGUAGCGGUGAAAUGCUGAGAGAUCACGAAGAAUUCCGAUUGCGAAGGCAGCCUACUAAACUACCACUGACAUUGAUGCGCGAAAGUGUGGGUAUCAAACAGGAUUAGAUACCCGAGUAGUC
rnacentral:rRNA from 1 species